rnacentral:rRNA from 1 species
UACGUAGGGUGCGAGCGUUAAUCGGAAUUACUGGGCGUAAAGCGUGCGCAGGCGGUUUUGUAAGCCAGAUGUGAAAUCCCCGGGCUCAACCUGGGAAUUGCGAUGAAGACUGCAAGGCUUGAAUCUGGCAGAGGGGGGUAGAAUUCCACGUGUAGCAGUGAAAUGCGUAGAGAUGUGGAGGAACACCGAUGGCGAAGGCAGCCCCCUGGGUCAAGAUUGACGCUCAUGCACGAAAGCGUGGGGAGCAAACAGG